UACGGAGGGAGCUAGCGUUGUUCGGAAUUACUGGGCGUAAAGCGCACGUAGGCGGCUAUUCAAGUCGGGGGUGAAAUCCUGGAGCUCAACUCCAGAACUGCCUUUGAUACUGGGAAGCUCGAGUCCGGGAGAGGUGAGUGGAACUCCGAGUGUAGAGGUGAAAUUCGUAGAUAUUCGGAAGAACACCAGUGGCGAAGGCGGCUCACUGGCCCGGUACUGACGCUGAGGUGCGAAAGCGUGGGGAGCAAACAGG
rnacentral:rRNA from 1 species